UCCAUAGCUGAGAGCCUGCAGGGUGGGUGGGGCUCACACACACAAGCCCCAUGCAGUAUGCACACGUACACAGUACAGUGCUAGACGCUCAAGUAUCCACUGCAGCAUGUAGACUAGAUCUACUGUUGAUUGAAGCAUAGAUAGUAGAAGAAGUAAGGGAGUAGUCUCUCGAAACAUGUCUGUCGAUUCCUCUACUAUAUAUCUAUAAUUGAAGCAACAAUUUAAGAAAGGUAUGGAACAGCUGGUCCAGGUCUCCUUGGUGUCGUCCUUUCACUCCCUACACAAAGUACAAGUGUUUAAACAUUCUCGGUAUGGCUCCGUUGGUAUCAGUGGGUGGACCAACGGGCUGGAUAACAAGCAAGAAAAUAGUUUACUUACAUUGUACUUUGCAUGCAUUCUUUUUUAUAGCCUUAUCCGAGCUCAUUUAAAAGCUUGGUGUCUUCGUUGGCAUCAGGAAAACCUGCUCGUUGGUCCAUACAGGAGGCCGUUUCUGGAAACUAGGUGGACCAACGACAAUUUGGUGUGAUUAUGAGCUCAUUUCAAAGCUUGGUGUCUCUGUUGGCAUCAUUAUAAACUGGAAAUCCUGCUUGUUGGUCUAUGAGGUUUCCUGUUUCUGGAAACUGGAUGGACCAACGGCCUGGACAACAAUUUGGUGUGAUUAUGAGCUCAUUUCAAAGCUUGGUGUCUCCGUUGGCAUCAUUAUAAACUGGAAAUCCUGCUUGUUGGUCUAUGAGGUUUCCUGUUUCUGGAAACUGGAUGGACCAACGGCCUGGACAACAAUUUGGUGUGAUUAUGAGCUCAUUUCAAAGCUUGGUGUCUCCGUUGGCAUCAUUAUAAACUGGAAAUCCUGCUUGUUGGUCUAUGAGGUUUCCUGUUUCUGGAAACUGGAUAGACCAACGGCCUGGACGACAAUUUGGUGUGAUUAUGAGCUCAUUUCAAAGCUUGGUGUCUCCGUUGCAUCAUUAUAAACUGGAAAUCCUGCUUGUUGGUCUAUGAGGUUUCCUGUUUCUGGAAACUGGAUGGACCAACGGCCUGGACGACAAUUUGGUGUGAGCAAGCUUGCAUGGUGUCUCCGUUGGCAUCAUUAAACUGGAAAACCUGCUCGUUGGUCCAUAUAAGGUUUCAUGUUUCUGGAAACUGGGUGGACAAUUAAUGGCCUGAACGACAAGUUGGUGUGAGCUUCAAAGCUUGCAUGGUGUCUCCGUUGGCAUCUUUAAACUAGAAAACCUGCUCGUUGGUCCAUAAGAUUUCCUGCUUCUGGAAACUAGGUGGACCAACGGCCUGGACGACAAGUUGGUGUCAGCUCAUUUCAAAGCUUAGUGUCUCUUGUUUGCAUCAAUUAAGGAAACUAGGUGGACCAACGGCCUGGACGACAAUUGGUGUCAGAGCUUGGUGGCUCUCCGUUGGCAUCAUGCAGUUAUACUAAUAAACCUGGACGUUGGCCCAUAACCUUUUCUGUUUUGGAAACUGGGUGGACCAACGGCCUGGACGACACUGACAGGUGGGUAUCAGCUCAUUUCAAAUGCUGCAUGCAUGGUGGCUUUGUUGGAAACUCGAAAACCUGUUCCCUGCAUGGUCUAUCAGAAUAUCAUAUCCAGCCGGAAAUUGGAUAGACAACAGCCUAUACGACAGCUGCAUCUACAAACUCUAUUAUACAUCAGACUGAAUGAAAGCCUCACUGCGACUCUGUAUGCUGAAAUCUACAAUGACAUUUAAGGAUUCUGUUUCCGUGUAGAGUAAGAGGCUGGCACUGGAUUCUUGUUGCUGUCAAUCUCCCAAAGAAAACUGUCUAUGUUCUUGACUCCCAGUCGCCAAUUAUCUCACCUUUUACUGAGCAGGCAACAUGCAUGCACAAGACAUUAAUCAAUUCUUAAGCAUGUGCAUUUGAUCACCUGCAAAGAUGGAUAUACAGUGGCUGCUCAGGAUGGAGUUGAAUGUGGCAUUCAUGUGAUACACAAUAAUUAUUAUGACAAUGGUCAAGUUUUCUGGACUACCUGCAUCAAAGCACCUGCAAAAGUCUGUAAACACUGCUGAAUUACGUGGAUUGAUCCUGUUAUCAUGCUACUCCACUCAACAAAGACAUCUCACGGAGUCAGAAGGAGUAAAAGGGUUGCUAAUACAGAUCUGCAGACUGAUGAUGAUGCCAGUGUAUAUCUGUUAAGAAGACAGCAAAAUCGAAGCCUUAACUGCUAUUUUUACUUAACAUUAAUUGUAUAGCUUGUAGUAUAGCUCAGAAUGUUUAUUUUUUAUUGUAUAUAAUUAUGUGCAAUAAUAUAGUUACUAGUUUCCCUCAUAUAGUUUCUCAUCUGUUAUUCCCCAUGCAUAUAAUAUGAUUGUGUUGUGUGUAAUUUC